rnacentral:rRNA from 2 species
CUCAGGACGAACGCUGGCGGCGUGCCUAAUACAUGCAAGUCGAGCGGAGUUUUGAAAAGCUUGCUUUUCAAAACUUAGCGGCGGACGGGUGAGUAACACGUGGGCAACCUGCCCUUGAGACGGGGAUAACUCCGGGAAACCGGAGCUAAUACCGGAUAACACAUAUCUUCGCAUGAGGAUAUGUUAGAAGGUGGCUUUUAGCUACCACUCAAGGAUGGGCCCGCGGCGCAUUAGCUAGUUGGUGAGGUAACGGCUCACCAAGGCGACGAUGCGUAGCCGACCUGAGAGGGUGAUCGGCCACACUGGGACUGAGACACGGCCCAGACUCCUACGGGAGGCAGCAGUAGGGAAUCUUCCGCAAUGGACGAAAGUCUGACGGAGCAACGCCGCGUGAGUGAUGAAGGUUUUCGGAUCGUAAAGCUCUGUUGUUAGGGAAGAACAAGUACCUGUUAAAUAAGCAGGUACCUUGACGGUACCUAACCAGAAAGCCACGGCUAACUACGUGCCAGCAGCCGCGGUAAUACGUAGGUGGCAAGCGUUGUCCGGAAUUAUUGGGCGUAAAGCGCGCGCAGGCGGUUCCUUAAGUCUGAUGUGAAAGCCCACGGCUCAACCGUGGAGGGUCAUUGGAAACU